GCUCGAGCUGCCCUGCAGACGCAGCUCGAGCGCGCCCAGCGCCAGGUGCACACGCUCACGCACCUGCUCACAGAGCUGCGCGACCAGAUGACGGAGCAGAGAAAACAGAAGCAGCGCAUCGGGCUCCUCAACUCAACCUCGGUGUACCUCCAGAACUUGCAGAUGAACCUGCCUCCGUGAAUCCGCACCUGCUCACACCAGGACACCCACACACGCUCACUACACUAGUGACGUCACCUUACAUCUAAUAUGCUCAGUACAGUUUCAUGCCUGCCUACUUUCAACACAUGACGGCAUCACAACUGUUGAUGCUCAGUAUUGGUUAUGCUUGUAAAAUUAGCAGUACAGUAGAAUCUCGAUUAUCCGGAUAUCCGAUUAUCCGGACUCAUUCUUCCCGGUUCUAAUUACCGAUUUAGGGUCUGGACCCAUCAAAACGGCAAGGCGCUGCCACCGUAACACGGUACAGACGUCGUCUUGGUUCAUUGUUAUAAGAAUUUGAUACAUCCAAUGGUCUAAAAUGAUGUAUUGUAAACCCUUUCUAAUGUAAAAAGUUAAUUUUUGUUUGAUUUUACUUUGAAAUCGAUUAUCCGGAUUUUCGAUUAUUCGGAACACCCCUGGUUUUAAUUGAUCCGGAUAAUCGGGAUUCCACUGUAUGAAUCAAUUACACACGUGCUUUUUACACCCGUGACGUCAUCGUACAACUUUACGCUCAGUAUAGUUUCAAGCCUGUAAAAUUUGCGGUAUGAAUCAAUUACACACGUUCUUUCAACACUCGUUACGUCUUGCAACAUCUUGCAAAUAUUUAUGGUCAGUAUAGUUGCUUGUAAAAUUUGUAAUAUGAAUAUAUUAUACGCGUAUUUUCAACACUCGUGACGUCAUCGUACAAGUAAUGCUCAGUAUAGUUAAUGCUUGUAAAAUUUGCGAUAUGACUAUUAAUUUAGCUUUACAUAAGCUUUAAUGCCGUUUUACAUUCUGUUGUUAAGAAGUGUUGUGAAAGUUAGUAUGACCAAAUAAUUUAUUUAGUUUUACUUGCUUGAGAAAAUAAGCAACGUGUUGUAUAAACUCGAAUUACCAUUGAAGAAAGGGUGCUUUUUAAGCUAACUUUUCUUUACACACGCAUAAAACAUGGCAAUUGUGAUAUCAAAUUGAUUUAGCUAUACUUUAUCAUCGAGAAGAAAGGUAAGUACGAGCAAUAUCUAAUUUAUAUGAGCGGUGUGUGUCGUGUCUUAUAUUUUACCAUCUUACCUCAACUUAUCGCACAAUCAAAUAGAAAUAUUCCAUUUCAAACUUGAUAACUUCGAUUUUCCGUGACACUAAAUGAAUGAAAAUACCUACAGGUUAAUAUUGUUAGCGUGAGUCAUACAUAAGUAUAAAUUCCUAUUCAUAAAGAUAGUAAGCUAUCAAUAUAUUCCACUUAUGACGUUGUAUUUAAAGAUAAAUACUAAAAUUAAAGAGAUAUAAAGAAAACAAGAUACAAAAUACAUUUUUCCUCCUGUAGGUAUCUACACAUAUCUAUGAUAUAGACCGCGUAUAUAGUUAUAUUGUAAUUGGCCAAGGAUUUGAUCAUUUAGAAUCUAAUUUAGAUUAGAUCUAUUGAAUAUUUAAUAUAGAAACCCGGUUUCUAGUUUUCAAUUAAAGUAAUUGUUAAAACAAACGUAAAGAUACUUGUUUUUUUAAUGAAAUAACGCAGAAAGUAAAGAUUGUAAUUUUUUCAUUAGUGAAAUAUCCCAAUAAUAUGUACUUAAAUUGAAUACCUAGAAAUCGGGGACUCGAUGAUUUUCGCAAGAAAAUCACGAUUUUAUGACUUUGAUGACAAAUAAUGUAAUGUUAUAUUUCAAUAUUGUAACUUUUCAUACAUUUCAUUACAAGUAACUUGUUACAUUACCUUUUCUCUAAUCUUGUCUAAUGUGAUUCAAAUAUAAGUUGUUGAAUUUUAUUGAAGUUACAUUUGAAACAAUGUUAUGCUGUAUGAAACCUAUGAUGAAUAAUUUAGAACAAAUGAAUUUGUUUUAACUAGUGUUCAUAGAUUUAGGUGUGGAUGUUUUUAAGUGAUGAUGAUGAAGGAGCUUACGACUUGUUUUGUAUAUUCUUGUCAGAAAUUUAAUUUCUCCUUAGAUUUUAUAUACAGAUCGUAAGCAUUAUACAGGCAGAUCAAAGCAAUAUUUUAAGUAGCUCCUUCGAAUAACAUGUGCAAUCGAAUAGCUCAAAACCGUUACCUAAUCGUACUGUAGUUAGAUAAAACGAAUUUUAUUUAAUUAUCCGGAGAUCCGAGUCUAUCUCUACAAUGUUAUCGUGUGAAAUGUAUACUUUUGUUGUGGUUGUCUUAUGUGUUAAGGUGUUGCCAUGUUGCCGCGAAUAUUGGACAUAACAACAUUUAUACAAGAAUGGAUGCAUUUUAAUAGCAUUUUUAGGUAUUAAACUGGCCUCAUAUGAAGACACUGAAUCACUGCAUAGUGUCUAAUUUUUGUUGAAAAGAAUUUGUUGGACUUUUUCAAUCCAAUAAGUACAAGAAACAUCUAUAGUCAAAUAAAUAAAAGUUAUGUUGUUUAAUUUAGGGCUUAUUUCAAUCGCUAUGCCAUGAAACUUUUUUGAGAAUAAUUUUCACUUAUUGACAGUUUAUGGGGAAAUAUUGACAUUGUUAACUAUGUUCUUCAGGUCAAGGUUGUAAUACCAGCCCUAUGUCUACGAAUAUUCGCGGCAACAUUAUUUUUAAGCUAGUAAAUAAUUUGAUUCGACUUAAAACGUGGUUGUUGGUCACUACAGGUUUGAUGUACGAAAUGAUGCAGCUGUAGGCUGCAAAGUGAAGUAUGCAAUACUAUUAUAAGCCUUUUAAACUGUCGCCAAAAUCACCUCGUACGUGGCGUUCAUUUGUCAUUAUUAUUUUUAAGUAUGAGGCUUUGAAGAUAUUACAAUGUUAUAAUAUAACCGAUUUCUACGUAAUUCGUUUAAGUUCGAAUAAGGUUCCUCGAUGAAACACGUUAAUAUUUAGCACUCUGAGCAUUACCCGUGUAAAGUUAUGUUCAUAUUACCACGUAGUGUGCUAGGAGCGGGUUCUAUAUGUUUUUAUGAAACUUAUGCCCGUAAUCACCAUCAAUACCUAAUUUUUAAGUGACCCCCAUGGUAACACAUAACAGGAAUUUUGUUUUCAAUGGGGACACUUAAAAAUUUGGUAUUAAUGGUGAAAAAGGGCAUUAAAAACAUAGUAUUGGGUACGCCCUGUUUUCGCUACGUGGUAUUAUGAGUAUAUCAUUAAUGGUAUAAAAUAUUCUCAUGACGAUACUACAAUAAAUUGUAGGUUUGAAAAUUAUGAAUCUGUAUUUGAGAUCUAAAAUAUAUGUAAAUCAAUCGAACAAGAAAAUAAACACUGACUUACUAAACGAUCUGUGCCAUUCGAGCAAUAGUAGCUAAGUCGAUGUUUACCACGCUAUUUUAAUUUAUGAUAUCAUAUAAAUCGAAUGUUUAUAUGCCAAAUAUUAGCAAUUUUUGUUAUUGUUUUUGUUGAUCUGUUUAUUUUUGUACUUAAAUCUUGUCUCUCUUGAAAUCUAUCUCUCUUAUAUUGAUCUUUAUAUAGCUAUAACUUGUAUAUAUUUAUAUUUAUUUUACUUUUCGCGACCAAAUUGUACUUACAUUCCUGAUUCUUCUUACACUGAAGUUUGCAUUUAUAGGGCAAUUAUAGUUAAAUAUAUGUAGCAAAAUUAGGACAAAACUCAUUUUGAAAAUUAGAAAAUAUUUCAUAAAAAUUAGACAGUGUUUGGAAAUUCUUCUCAAAAUAUAAUUUGACUUAGUUUUAACACGUCGAAAUAAGUUUUCGAGUGAAAAUUGUGUAAAACAAAAAACUCGUUUAUAUUGCAGAGCUUUAUAUUAUUUUUAUUUAUUUAUUUACUUCUAUCAAAGUUAUAUUUUUAAAAUUUUUAUCAGUUACGUUCUAGUUUGUUUAUUUAUUGUAUUCUCUCGGGAAUCGAUGCUGGAACUAUUGCUGUAAGGACGUUCAUGGUGAUCGUUGACCAAAUUUCAAAUGUAUCUAUUUUUUCCUAGAAAUCUAUAUUUUUAUUACCACAUCUUGUGAGUCUUUAAAGUUUAUAGAAUAUAUUUAUCGCACGUUUACAUUCCUAUCGUAUUUUUUAUAUUGUUUAUGGUCUUCGAAAUUCUAGCGAAUCUUUCGGAAAAUGUAAAGUUCUCGCUUGUGGGUAGGCAGCACAGCGGUAGUUAAUAGCUCUAUAGUCUAUUAUACUUCAAAACAUAAU